CACGGAACCACCCAGUCUUUUCUCCUUCGGUGCGGGAAGGCGAUCGUAAGGAAAGGUGUGGGGAGUAAUGAGUGCUUUACAGCCACGAUGGCAAUUAUUAUCAAAAUGGAUAAGCGAGGUUCGCGAAGUUGAACAGUGUCCAGUAGCAGAGCCAAGACACAUUGCAGGGUUUCCAAGGGGAUGGUGGGGGUUGUCACUGGGUUAUUGGCCUGCACAUUCCUGUGUUUGACACUUCACUGGCAAGCUUCCCAUUAAAAGCACUGGUUACUGGGUUACAUUGGCCUGUUGGUGAUUGGGCUACUGCUGAACCAUGGUGCACAAGCUCUGAGGGCCUAGGAUGGGUAGGAGCUGGUCGAUUCAGCAGUGACUUGAUGUGCCUCCUUAAUUGGCAAGUGACUCCUGACUGAAGCAAGCAGCGUCUCUCAUCUCACCUUUUAUGCCUUCUCCUGCCUGCCCCACAAAACUAGGAGUGAGCCCAGAUGCUACAUUGGCAGGUCCUUACUGUCCUAAAGAAGUUUUUUAAUACAAAAUGUCCGCUGGUAUGUGUGGAGUGCUUUGUCUGAAACCAUGGAGUCAAAGCCCACCUUGAGUUCAGUUCUUGAUCAGUGUGAGAGAUGGCUGGGGGGUUGCUUCCCAGAUCCUCUCGUCCACCUUGCCUAGCUUAGGAAUGUCUUGCACUAGAUACAGUCUCAGUUCAUCCUUCGCUGAAAAGCAGCUUGUAGUAGUUAAGCAGCGCUGCUUACUUCGAAAAGGCCUUUUGGCCUUGUGAAGCAGGCCGAUUUAAAAUAAAAAAUGGUCAAGUUGUUAAACUUGUCUUACAGGAUUAGGCUGAUGUCUUUCCUCUCUGCUAGCAGAGGAGUAAUAAAUAUUAGAUAAGGGGGUGGGGGUCCUGUACAGUAACUGAUGGGGUUUGAAUUCCAUUAAAUAGUGCCUCUAGUCACUGCAGGAGCAGUGUAACGUGACAGAAACCUUGCAAUGUGAUUCUUGCCUCACCACUGGAGAGGACAGUGUUAUCCUGGCUGGAUGUCACACGGUGAAACAAGAGCGAUCGUGAACGGACUUGAAACCAACUUCGACACUGGGCAGUGUUUUGAGAGCCUGGUAAACCCACGAGGGGAAAGGGAGCAGAAGGAUCUGUUGAUGGUGGGGUGC